rnacentral:siRNA from 1 species
GGAACGAAUGGUGAUCGUGGGAA